GUACGUUAGGUUAGGUAAGGUACGGCUUACCAAGGCAACGAUGGGUAGGGGUCCUGAGAGGGAGAUCCCCCCACACUGGUACUGAGACACGGACCAGACUCCUACGGGAGGCAGCAGUGAGGAAUAUUGGACAAUGGGCGCAAGCCUGAUCCAGCCAUGCCGCGUGCAGGAUGACGGUCCUAUGGAUUGUAAACUGCUUUUAUACAGGAAGAAACACUACUUCGUGAAGUAGCUUGACGGUACUGUAAGAAUAAGGAUCGGCUAACUCCGUG
rnacentral:rRNA from 1 species